UAGCCAGACUCCUACGGGAGGCAGCAGUGAGGAAUAUUGGUCAAUGGGCGAGAGCCUGAACCAGCCAAGUCGCGUGAGGGAAGACGGUCCUAUGGAUUGUAAACCUCUUUUGCCGGGGAGCAACGGGGUCCUUGCGAGGACCCGAUGAGAGUACCCGGAGAAAAAGCAUCGGCUAACUCCGUGCCAGCAGCCGCGGUAAUACGGAGGAUGCGAGCGUUAUCCGGAUUUAUUGGGUUUAAAGGGUGCGCAGGCGGAGGUGCAAGUCAGCGGUCAAAUUGCGGGGCUCAACCCCGUACUGCCGUUGAAACUGCAUCCCUUGAGUGCGCGAGAAGUAUGCGGAAUGCGUGGUGUAGCGGUGAAAUGCAUAGAUAUCACGCAGAACUCCGAUUGCGAAGGCAGCAUACCGGCGCGCAACUGACGCUCAUGCACGAAAGCGUGGGUAUCGAACAGGAUUAGAUACCCUUGUA
rnacentral:rRNA from 1 species